rnacentral:rRNA from 1 species
GACGAACGCUGGCGGCGUGCUUAACACAUGCAAGUCGAACGGAAAGGCCCUGCUUGCAGGGUACUCGAGUGGCGAACGGGUGAGUAACACGUGGGUGAUCUGCCCUGCACUUCGUGAUAAGCCUUGGAAACUGGGUCUAAUACCGGAUAGGAGCCAUUUUUCGUGUUAUGGUUGGAAAGUUUUUUCGGUGUAGGAUGAGAUCGCGGCCUAUGAGCUUGUUGGUUGGGUAAUGGCCUACCAAGGCGGCGACGGGUAGCCGGCCUGAGAGGGUGGACGGCCAAAUUGGGACUGAGAUACGGGCCAGAAUCCUACGGGGGGCAGCAGUGGGGGAUAUUGCACAAAGGGGGGGAGCCUGAAGCAGCGACGGCGCGUGGGGGAUGACGGGCUUCGGGUUGGAAACUCCUUUCGCUAGGGACGAAGCUUUGUGUGACGGUACCUAGAUAAGAAGCACCGGCUAACUACGUG